rnacentral:piRNA from 1 species
UGGACUAGAGGAUGUCUGAACGGCCAGGA